rnacentral:hammerhead_ribozyme from 1 species
AUCCACCUGACGAGUCCCAAAUAGAACGAAAUAUGCGUUAUCUUGGAU